UGGAAUCCAUGGACACUGUUGCCAUCGACAAACAAAACAGAAUGGCAGGAGAAGAGGUCUUAGAACAGAACCUCAGGGGGCAUCUACCUAGUUACAAAGAUCCAGCAAAGGAGACAGAAGGAUGGGUCAGACAAGGAAGAGGAGAGUCUAGAGAGAGCGACAGCACCUCAAAAGCCGCGAGAGAUGGCAGUGUCAAGGAGAAGCAGGGCUCCAGACUCCAACGCUGAUGUACUCUGAGAUCCAGUGACUGCAUUUCUCCCUUCGGGCCCCCCAUAGCUGCAAUGCUCUUCCUCCUUCUCUCUGCCCACUAGCUUCUCUGGCUUCCUUUAAGUUCCCCACUAAAAUCUGACCUCGUACAGGAAGCCCUUCUCAAUUCCCCUUAAAGCUUCCCUUUGUUAUCUCAGUUCAUUCAGGGUAUAACUAGCUACCUGGUACAUAGUCGCUUGCAUGUACAUUUGACCAGGAGCUCCUGGAGGGCAGGGACUCUCUGUUGCCCUUCUUUGUAUCUGUAGCACUCAAAGGUAGUGCCUGGCACAUAGUAGGCCCCUUAUAAAGGUUGAAUUCACAAAUUUGAGAAGAUAGCGAAAUCUAAUUAGAUGAAGUGAGAACGUCAAGAAAGGCUUAGGAUGGGGGCAGCUGGGUGGCUCCAUGGAUUGAGAGCCAGAAAUCGGGCCUCAGAUGCUUCCCAAUCGUGUAACCUUGGGCAAGUCAUUUAACCCUCUUUGCCUAGCUCUUCUGUCUUGGUGUCAAUGCAUGAUUCCAAGAAGGCAGUUAAGGAUUAAAAGAAAUCAAAGGCUGAGGAGGUAGCACCUUGAAGUAAGAGAGAAAUUCUGAGAUGUAUAGGUGAAGUGCUCAUCCCAUGUGGUGGAUAGAGAGCUGGACUUGGAGUCAGGAGGACCUGGGUGCAAAUUCAGCCAGUCACUUCCUUGCUGUGUAGUAGCUCUUUUCCUAUAAAAUGGAGGCCCUAGACACAAUGGCUUCCCAAGUCCCUUUUAGCUCUAGAGCUAGGUCCACCUGUGACCUUGAGGAAGCCCCUUCCCCUCCCUGGGCAUCAGUUUCCUCCUCUGUAAAAGAAAACUAGAUGGUGUCUAAGGUGCUAACCAGCUCUACGUAUAGGGUCCAAUGAAAAUGGAGCGCAGCCCCGCCAUAGCUUUUCUAAAAACACGGAGCGGAAUGAGUUUGGAGAACAGCCAGCAGAAUAGUUUGGCUAGAACAGAGUGUGAUAAAGUUGGGAAGGAAGGUCAGAACAAGCUGCUCAUGGAGGGCCUUGUUGCUGGGCUAAGGAUUGUGGAUUCUGGGGGCAGUGAGAAAGAAUCCUGAGCAGAGGAGUGGCAUAAUCCAGUCGGGCCCUUUGAAGAUUGUUUUAACAGCUGCCUCUCACUAAGGCCACAAACCUGGGUGCCUGGAAGGAUGACGAAGCUCUCCAAAAAUGAGGAAGCCUGAAAGAAGCGGAGGUUUUCCAGGAGGAAGUCAGUGGAUUCCAUUUUAGACACACUGAGUCGGGGAUGCUAACAUAAUAUCGAGGGAAAGCUCUCCAGUAGGCAACUAGGGAUGGCAGACUAUUAUUCAAGGGAGAGCUAUCAGUUGCAGGAGUCACCUCUGUAUAAAUAAUUGAACCCAGGGGACGGAGGAAGGAGAGAGCUCACCGAGGGAGACUGUUUGGAGAGAGAAGAGAAUGGGGCCCGACACAGAGCCUACGGGGAUAUUUUUAGUGAGUCGGAGAUGGACCAUGAUGACUCAGCAGAGGAGACUGAUUGGGCGACCAAGAGGAGAUGGGGAGAGGACAGCAGUUGGGGAAGUUGAGGGAGGAGAGGUGGACACUCAGCAGAAUUCAAAGAGGAUGAAAAGAAAUCAGAUUAGUCAGAAAGAAACCGUGUGAGCUGAUAGUUUGAGCACAGUGUCCAUGGCCUGCCAAGUGAAGGGCUGUGGAGGAAGUCCCGACAGUGAAUGAACUGUUUUGGGAUGUGAGCUUUUCGAGGAGCAGAAGGGAGGAGAGCCAUAGGACCAAGGGCCGAGGAGAUGGCAGGGUGAAGGCACAGGUUCCUAAUGAUGAUGAGACCCCAGAGCGGGGGUCCCCAAACUACGGCCCACAGGCCACAUGCAGCCCCUUGAGGCCAUGGAUCUGGCCCCCACCGCACUUCUGGAAGGGGCACCUCUUUCAUGGGUGGUGAGAGGAGCCCUAUAUGUGGCAGUGCUGCAAAGCGUGGCAUCGCUCACUUACAGUACUUCUUUUUUUUAAGCCCUCACCUUCCGUCUUGGAGUCAAUACUGUGUUGGCUCCAAGGCAGAAGAGUGGUAAGGGCUAGGCCAUGGGGGUCAAGUGACUUGCCCAGGGUCACACAGCUAGGAAGUGGCUGAGGCCAGAUUUGAAUACAGUACUACUUCUGGUGACAUAACCCUUUGUGUGGGGCCUUGUUCUGAGAGUAACUGAAGGAGAACGAGGCGCCGUGCAAAGGAUUAUGUGGCUGCACAAUGAAAGAUGUCAGCAUGAUGAGCAGCAAUCUGGGGGAAGGGAUUCUACACGUGUAUACUGCUGCCCGGUAUAGUGGUGGCGGGGAUGGGCCUGUGCAAGGUGUGACAGGCCCAUCCCAGCCAGCACUGCAGCCUCCGCUAUCCCAGACAGCGCUAUGCAGAUUUGUUCAUAGUCUUUUUCAUAGUCCGGCCCUCCAAUGGUCUGAAGGACAGUGAACUGGCCCCCUGUGUAAAAUAUUUCGGGACCCCUGGUCUAGAGGCAGGGGGGUGACAGAGCCAGCUCAAACCAGCUCUUGAGAGCUGAUUAUUAAAUUUUUACUGCAAGCAUCUGAGCAUACACAUCUUGGAAAUUUUCCAGACUACACAUCAGGGCUUGACAUUGUUAUACCACAUUUAAUUUGCUUUUUCUUCAUUGCAUGGACAUCGUCGCAGUCAUGUUCAGAGAUCUGGAUCUUAGAAGCCAUUUGGUCUAACCACUUCCUUUUACAGAUGAAGAAACUGAGGCUCAGCAAGGUUAAGUGACUUAUCUAAGGUCAUAUACCUAGUAACAUCCAAGGUGACAUUUGAACUCUAAGUCCUAUGCCUGAUCCACUAUGCUAACAAUGUGUAUAGGUGGGUAUAUCAUAUAUAUGUAAAUGUGCAAAAUGUUCUCAUUGCUGCAUCCUUCAGGCUACGGUUCACGUACAUUUCCACCAGCUUCUCUGUAUUCUUCAUAUCCACAAUUUCUUGUGACACAGUUAUAUUCCGGAGCAGUCAUGUGUCAAAGUUGGUUUAGCCACACCCCCCCCCCCAAAUGAGGGGCAUUGAUUCUGCUUCCACUUUUUUGCAUCCCUAGAAGUGCUGCUCUGAAUAUUUGGGGCUGACUUUUGUCUUUGCCUUCCUUGGCAUUUCAGUCUGGCACAAAGAUCUCGGGGUCAAAAGGGAUGGACGUUUUUGUCACUGUCUUCACGUAAUUUCAGAUUGGUUUCUGGAACACUUCACAGCUGCUCUGCUGACAGGAUAGCCAUGGGAGGUGGGGCCACUUGCUAUGAAAGAGCCAUUGGGGCGCCACUGGGAGCAGGAGGAGAAAGGAGAAAGUCUGAGCCAGCCACAAUAAAGAAUGCGCUAGAGUCGGGCAGUUAAAGAUGCACAGAAUUGCCCUUGUAGUGUGGAAAAUAGAAAGAAAUCGUUGCGACCCCAGCAGUGUCUUUCUAGCAACUUGGAAAUAGGAGUGGAGAAGGCAGAUGGUGGAUGAACAGGGGUGAGAGCUAGGAUGGCACGAGCAGUGAAAUAGAACAAGGGGACAAUGGAUUUAAGACCAGAUGCUGGCAUACUGUUGAACUGGCACACCAUUAUCACACCCUGGGGUACCGUUGAACUGGCACACCAUUACUGGAUGCGGGGGUACUGUUGAACUGGCACACUAAUACUAGACACUGGGAUGCCAUUGAACUAGCACAUAUUUCAAGCAUUUUAAAAUGUAAGUUUAUUUUUCCAACUUAACAAGCAUUUAUUUCUCUCUCUCUCAACUGUCGAACUAAAAGAAGAACCUUCCUUACAAAUAUGCAGCGUUCCAAAAACAUACAUGUAUGUCGAGUUGCUUUCUGUGUGGAGCACCUGGGAAGGAAAUUCCUUCUACCAAAGCAGGUUUGUGAAGAUUGUGCCUUCUUCUACAUCACGCUGAACAUGGAAGUGCAUUUUGUACGAUAGAGCAUGUCUAACCAGGAGCAGAUUGCUUGCCCUCUCAGGGCGGAAGGAAGGGAGAGAAUGCAGAACUCGAAAAACGAAUGUUAAAAAUCAUGUUUGCACAUACCUUGAGAACUGAUUCUUCCAAAUCCUCAAAAUUGUGUCAUCUCCAGCACGGAACACCUUGGUUUAUGCUUGAUUUCAUCCAGCUGCUUUUAGCAUCAGUGUUCAGAGCCAUUGUCAUUUCCUCGAGCAGCACAGCCAGGACUGUGAGGUUAGAGUCCUAAUGUGGAGGUUGCACUGUCUUUGAUGCUGAAAAGUGUUAUAAAAAUCUUUGCAGAUCUUUUCCUCUUUCCUAUCUUUAUUGUCCUGUUAUCUUCAUCCUCAUAUACUUUCAAGAUGACUUUGCUUAGUUGGAUCUCUCGCCAAACUUUCU